rnacentral:lncRNA from 1 species
CCGGUUACGUGAAACUGUGGUCGCAUCUCACUCUAAGAAUAACUGGCACUCUUGGCAUGUCAGACUUCGCGCAGAGUUGGAUUUAAAGAGGAAAGUUUAAGAACAGUGGCAUUAGCAGUAACGUAUGGGGCCUGGUUCUUGUGAUCCAAAUUCCUCAUUCUGAUCUUAGGUGUGCCGCUCUUGCAGGACCUCCAAGAGGACAUCACAGAUCCAGGGAGUGUGCUGCCUGAUGCCAUGCAAGACUGAGGACAGAACUGGGCUUGGUUAAGCUGAUGAUCCAAAGAGCUUAGUGGUUCUUGGACAGAGUCAGUGCAGUGUGUUGGUCCAGCCUUGCAAACUGGUAAAGGAACUCCCACCACGCUAGCUGAACCGGUGGGAACCUAAAUACAGCUUCAUUUCCGAUGUCGACGGCUUCUGUUCUGACCAUAAUUCUGCAGAAUUUGUGAGAGGUUUUGUCAGUAGCAGAAAAUUUUUUCACAAGAUCUGAAAAUGGGGAGAACUGUGUUUUGUUUUAAAUUAGAAGAUACGCUGAAUGAGUUUUAUAGUGUAAACUGAAUCUGAUGGUAAAUGUAGCCAAGUGAAGGUACUUUAUUUAUAAACAUAUUGUUCUGCAAUAAGUGGAAUAAAAGAAGGUAGGUUUUCUGUAAUUUAAAUCCU